rnacentral:rRNA from 1 species
GAUGAACGCUCGCGGCAGGCCUAAUACAUGCAAGUCGAACGAGAUUAAGAGGCUUGCUUCUUAUGAAAGUGGCGCACGGGUGCGUAACGCGUAUGCAACCUACCUUAAUCAGGGGGAUAGCCCGAAGAAAUUCGGAUUAAGACCGCAUAAAAACACAGGAUAGCAUUAUCCAAUGUUCAAAUAUUUAUAGGAUUAAGAUGGGCAUGCGUGUCAUUAGCUAGUUGGCGGGGUAACGGCCCACCAAGGCGACGAUGACUAGGGGAUCUGAGAGGAUGACCCCCCACGCUGGUACUGAGACACGGACCAGACUCCUACGGGAGGCAGCAGUAAGGAAUAAUGGUCAAUGGAGGGAACUCUGAACCAGCCAUGCCGCGUGCAGGAAGACAGCCCUCUGAGUCGUAAACUGCUUUUAUUCGGGAAUAAACCUUUCUACGUGUAGGAAGCGGAAUGAACCGAAGGAAUAAGGAUCGGCUAACUCCGU